GUCUCAGUAGCAUAGUGGUUAGUGCACAGCCCCGUAUAGGUUGAGACGCGGGUUCGAAUCCCUCCUGAAAUG
rnacentral:tRNA from 1 species